rnacentral:lncRNA from 1 species
GUUUAUCUGGUUUUUGAGACCGGUCGAACAGUUGAACCAUCGAACCGGUAACACGGCCGGUUUGAUGUCCGGUCCGAUUUUCAAAACAUUGGCUGCUAGGCACCACCCUACACCAUCGUGUUCUUCCCGCUCUUGCUAUUGAUCGGACCUACACCAUCGUGCUCUUGCUAUUGAUCGGACCUACACCAUCGUGUUCUUCCCGCUCUUGCUAUUGAUCGGAGCAAACUGUCACCACCAUCUUAACCCACCUAGUUUUUCGAACACCCCCUUGACCGGCCGGUUCAACCGUGAACCGGUGUGGAUACAGGCUUUUAAAAGCACAAAAACCGCCCUUAAACCAAACCGAAAAAAAACCGGCGGUUCAAACAAAAACCGGACUAAACCGACAUGGUUUAACCGGAAAAAAAACCGGCCCGCUGAUAAAAAAGACUUAAAAAUUAAACUAGAGUAAAGCGAUUAGUCCUGGCUUUCAUAAGCGAGAAGCACACUUUACUUUAACUGCCUCUUUAGAUUCUUGUCCUUUUAUAGAGCUCUCAAAGGCCGCCAUUUUAUUUUUGUGGCGAUGUGGGAUGAGGCUAAUAGCCUAAACAAUUUUUAAACUAAUUCAUGGUGUAUACUCAUUUUCUUCCACAUUGAAUAAUAUUUUUUUUUAUACUUCUUGUUUUCUUCUUUUGGACUAAUUUAUUUAACCUAUUAAGGUUCCUUUUACUGUGAUGAUUUUGAAAAUAGUCAAAUAACCGAUCUCCCCUAAAAGUGAAAUAUGCAAAAAAAAAUAAGCAUACUUGAAGUAGAAAUGAAACCAAAUCCAUAUUGAACUCAAUUGAUAUCAUUUACAUAAAACUCCUUGAAUCGUUAUAGCAAACUUUUAGGAGAGUAACAUAUAAGAAUAAGAUAUUGUUGACUCAUAUUAAAAUUUCAUAAUCGUUAUAUAUAUAUAUAUAUAUNNNNNNNNNNNNNNNNNNNNNNNNNNNNNNNNNNNNNNNNUCCGGUUUAUCCGGUUUUUGAGACCGGUUGAACCGGUCGAACCAGUUGAACCGUCGAACCGGUAACACGGCCGGUUCGAUAUCCGGUUCGGUUUUCAAAACAUUGGCUGCUAGGCACCACCCUACACCACCGUGUUCUUCCCGCUCUUGCUAUUGAUCGGAGCAAACUGUCACCACCAUCUUAACCCACCUAGUUUUUCGAACACCC